CCACUACGAGCAGAGAAGGCAAAGAUUUCUGAAAGAAUCCCACAUAGAGCAGCCCCACGGCUUGAAGAUGGGCUUGUUGUUAGAUGAAGCUAUACUGGGAGACGCAAGCUUAAUGUAUUCAAAAUGCUACUGGGUGUUGUGUCCACAGGAACAAAGCAGAGCUUACCCAAUAGGACUUGCUAAUGAGAUGAUAACGGAACACUAAUUGAAGGCUUGACUUAUAACUAGACUUUGAUGAAUUUCGGUUCCCUCACCACUGACAAUGUGACCUCGAGUCUGACAAAUCUGUCUCUGCAAGCAGCUUCUGGAAUUUUAUACGUAAAAAAUGUUAAGCUCAUUUGAACUGCUGCCUUUCAUAAUGCAUUUUAUUUAAAGAUGCUUUUAAGUUCUUGAGGAAUUUUCUUUGCAGAUAGGGAAAGAAACCUUUUUGAGCUGAAAUGAAUUUUCUUUUUUUUUUUUACCUUUCUGCUUGCAAAAAACCACAAAACCCAC